rnacentral:misc_RNA from 1 species
UGGUUCCGGCAUCGAUGAAGAACGCAGCGAAAUGCGAUAAGUAAUGUGAAUUGCAGAAUUCAGUGAAUCAUCGAAUCUUUGAACGCACAUUGCACCCUCUGGUAUUCCGGGGGGUAUAUUUGUUCCAGCGUUAUUACACCUCUCAAGUUUAACUUGGUAUUGAGUUUGUGGUGAAAACUGCAUUCUUUAAAUAUUUACAGCUUAUUAUUAUGAAAAGCGUUUGAAAUAUUCGUUUUAUCAAAAGUAAUAAACUCGUAACCUCUUCUAAGGUUAACCUGGAAUCAAAUAGGGAUACCCGCUGA